rnacentral:rRNA from 1 species
GACGAACGCUGGCGGCGUGCUUAACACAUGCAAGUCGAACGGAAAGGCCUUUUCGGAGGUACUCGAGUGGCGAACUGGUGAGUAACACGUGGGUGAUCUGCCCUGCACUCUGGGAUAAGCCUGGGAAACUGGGUCUAAUACCGGAUAGGACCGCACUUUAGUGUGUGUGGUGGAAAGUUUUUUCGGUGUAGGAUGAGCCCGCGGCCUAUCAGCUUGUUGGUGGGGUAAUGGCCUACCAAGGCGGCGACGGGUAGCCGGACUGAGAGGUUGGUCGGCCACAUUGGGACUGAGAUACGGCCCAGACUCCUACGGGAGGCAGCAGUGGGGAAUAUUGCACAAUGGGCGCAAGCCUGAUGCAGCGACGCCGCGUGGGGGAUGACGGCCUUCGGGUUGUAAACUCCUUUCGCCAGGGACGAAGCGUUUUGUGACGGUACCUGGAGAAGAAGCACCGGCUAACUACGUG